GGGGGAAAAAUUAAAUAAUAUAAUAAAUAAUAAAAAAAAUUUUAAUAUUAAAAUAAAAUGGGGUUAAAGUAUUUUAAUAGAAAAAAUUUUUAUAUUUAUAGCAAAUUAGUAUUGUAAAAGAAAUUUGAAAUAGUAUAUAAUAAUAAUUUAUAAGAAAGAAAAUUUAAUUUAUUGUAUCUUGUGUAUCAGAGUUUAUUAAAUAAAAAUUUUUAGUUAAAAAAAUCUCGAAUUUAAAAGAGUUAAUUAAUUAAAAAAGUUAAUGUAGUAUAAUUAUUUUAAAUAAUUAAUUAGAAAUGAAAUGUUAAUCGUUUUUAAAUAUAUCUAGUUUUUUUAGAAAAAAAUUUAAUUUUAAAUUUAAUUUUAUCUUUAAUUUAUUAUUUAAAUUAAAAAAAAAUUAAAUUUAAUAUUUUAAGGGAUAAGCUUUAAAUUAAAAAUUUAUAAUAAAAUGAAAAUGUUAUUUAAAAUUUUUAAAAUUUAUAUUGUUUAAAAAUUAUAAUUUAUUAUAAAAAAUUUUAAAAUAAAUAAAAUUUAAUAAAAUAAAUAUUUAAAUUUUUAUAAAAAAAUAUUUUUUAAUAAAAAAAAAAUUAGUAAUAAUGAUAAAAUUAGUAUAAUUAUUUAUAAAAAAAUAAAUUAAUAAUUAAAGUAUUAUAAAGGAAUUCGGCAAAUAAAUAUAUUCACUUGUUUAUCAAAAACAUGUCUUUUUGAAAUUAAUUUAAAGUCUAAUCUGCCCACUGAUAUAAAUUAAAGGGCUGCAGUAUAUUGACUGUACAAAGGUAGCAUAAUCAUUAGUCUUUUAAUUGAAGACUCGUAUGAAAGAUUUGAUGAAAUAUAAACUGUCUCUAAUAUAUUAAUAGAAUUUUAUUUUUUAGUAAAAAAGCUAAAAUUUAUUUAAAAGACGAGAAGACCCUAUAGAGUUUUAUAAUUAUUUUAUUUUAAAUUAAAUAUAUAAUUUAAAAUUAAAAAUGAAAUAAUUAUUUUAUUGGGGUGAUAGAAAAAUUAACAAAACUUUUUUUAAAUAUUAAAUAUAAAUAAAUAGAUAUAUGAUCCAUUUAUAAUGAUUAUAAGAAAAAAUUACCUUAGGGAUAACAGCGUAAUAUUUUUUUUUAGUUCAAAUAAAAAAGAAAGUUUGCGACCUCGAUGUUGGAUUAAGAUAAAAUUUAGACGCAAAAGUUUAAAAUUUUGAUCUGUUCGAUCAUUAAAAUCUUACAUGAUCUGAGUUCAAACCGGUGUGAGCCAGGUUGGUUUCUAUCUUUAGGGAAUAAAAAUAUUUUAGUACGAAAGGAUUAAAUAUUUAAAAUAAUUUUAUUUUUAUGAAUACCAUUAAUUUAUUCAAGCU
rnacentral:rRNA from 1 species